GGCAGUUUAUGUCUUCUCUAUAGACACGUGCUCUCUUUUGUUAAGUAAAAAUCUACCAUGGAGAACUUGCCAAAUAAAGGUGGUUCCUGUAGAGAAGUCCUCAUAUGUCAUGUGCCUCCAACCUAUUCGGUCAUCUCCAUGGCUUUGUUGGGUUUAGACAUAGCAAUAAUCUUCAUGACUGUCUCCUCAAGUAAGCUUUUUCUCAGUUUAUUUUUUGUUCCAGUUACCGAACCUGUUUGUCCAUUUUCAAACACAAUUUUUUUUUGCCAGUGAUAUUUCUAGUUGCCUUGUUGAUCAAUAUUCCUUAUUUUUCUACCCAGGGAUCCAGCCAAAAAUUGGUUGACAAUCCAUCACCAAUAUGGUGGAUAAUACAUUCCUUGAAGGUUGGCCAGAGUUUCACAAGCUCUUUCCAAAGAGGUGAGUCUGACUUCCUUAUUGUAGGUUGGUUUAGAUCUCUGUUGUUAUUGCAAUAUUUGUGAGUCAGAACUUCUACCCAUAGUGAAUUAGGCCUUUCUUUGAUGUUCCAUAUGAUCUUAAGUAAGAAGGCAUCAUUUAUAGUGUUUAGUUUCGCAUUUUUAAUCCUCCUUCAUGUUUAGGAGUGCAGAUAGUUUUCCAAUUGAUAGCAUGAAAUUUUUCUCUA